AAAGGAUUUAAUCAUAACUGUGUCUUCUAAAGUUUGCCUUUGAGCUUGAAAAUCAGCGGCACAGCACAAUCAUUCCUGAAUAUUUUUGGUGUUAAAAUGAACCACUAAAGUAAUGAACUUGAUCUAUUUAAACUUCGAAUUGGAAAUCAACCAAAGGUUAAUAUUCUCCGUUUAAAUAUCACAGAUUCUGGCAAAGUGUGUGUGUGUGUGUGUAAGAGAGAGAGGAAUAUAAGCGUUUAAACUCCAUGGCCAAGAAUAGGCUCAUUUCUCACAGGCGAUUGCUGGCGAGGAAAUACAGCCCAAAUUGAAUUAGUUUACAUGAGGGGAUGAAAAUUGAAAUAUGGAUCGGAGUUGCAAAUGCCUGUCUGCGCGCUCAUAUAUGGGAUGAAAUAUAUUAUUGCUCUCUCAUAUUGCGUGUGCUUAUGUGUGUGUUUUUUUUUUUUGAAGCGGCGUGUUUAAAGAGCCCUUGGCUGCUGGUUUUGUUAGUCGUGUAGGUCUAAUAAAUGGUAUUGAUAUUUAAAAAGUUUGUGUUUUGAGGAAAUACCGGAGCAGCACGUUCGCCUCACACCUCCAGGGUCGGGGGUUCGAGUAGCACCGUGGCUCUGUGUGUGCGGAGUUAGCAUGUUCUCCCUGUGCUGCGGGGGUUUCCUCCGGGUACUCCGGUUUCCUCCACCAGUCCAAAGACAUGCAUGGUAGGUUGAUUGGCAUGUCUAAAGUGUCCGUAGUGUACGAAUGGGUGUGUGAGUGUGUAUGUGAUUGUGCCCUGUGAUAGAUUGGCACCCUGUCCAGGGUGUACCCCGCCUUGUGCCCGAUGCUCCCUGGGAGAGGCUCCAGGUUUCCCAUGACACUGAAGGAUAAGCGGUAUAGAAGAUGGAUGGAACACUGGAGGGUUUUACUGUCUUUGAUGGGUUUAUAUUAUACACGAAGAGGCAGAUUUGCCUAUGGGGAAUCUUCCGUAGAAAGCUCGGUCGCUCUAUCAGACAUGCGUGCCGCGGUCACCUUCUAUAUACAUGAAUCCACAUCCUGCACGUUAGAGCUCUUUCCCAGUGACGCAUUCGAUUAUACACUGGGAUAUACUUGCAUAUGUACUACAUCAGCAUGUGUACUAUUCUAGAUUGUUUUCGAUCUUGAGUGCUAACACUAACUGGUUUUCCUGUGAGAGUCAGUGUUUGAAGGAACAGGUUUUCAACAGAGCUUGUCAGUGUGUUGAACAUCGCCGUGCAUGACGAACAGGGAUAUUUCGGCUCUCGUGCUGUCUAAUGGCCGUCUCUUUUAAUCCCACUGAAGUACGCAGGCGAGUGUGUUAACAAUGCCACUCGCGCUGCCACUGCUUCUGCACACCCACACUAAGACAUUCGUUAAGUAUUAUUCAAAAUAUAUAGAACAUGAUCAAAUAAUGGUUUAAACCAUGACCUCAGGACAAAAGUAUUUUGUGCGUGAGAAAGUCCGUUUGGAAAACUGACGUCUGGUCCACGAUGCUUGUCUGUUUUUGUUUUGUUUUUGACUCCCAUUUUAACGUGGACACUUUGGGACACCGUAGGUCCUGGGGUUCUGCUUUGUACACAUGCGUGGCAGUAAAUCGAAUAUCGAUCGCUAUUACAAUUUCGACUGUCCACGAUUACAUGAACACGAAGCUUUCGGAUACGAGUGCAUUAGAGCCAAGGCGCUCUGCACUUAAACCCCCUCUCUCCUUCCGGACGCUUUAACGCAGACGUGUAAACCAGACUUUACACAUCAUCAUAUAACAAACUGCACGUACGACAGAUCUGUUGGAUUUUCCGUUUCAAACACACAUUUGUUCAUCGUCUUCAUCUUCCCUUUUAUUUACAUCACUUCCUUUUGAAGUCUGCUGGUGAUUUGCUCGUAAUUGACAUCGUCCUGUCUCCUACUGCGCUGCUCAUUUAUCGCACAAUCCUGUCUUCAGCACAAAUGUUCAGUUUCUGAAUCGCUUCUGUUUUCCAGACAUUUCUCCUGUUCUGUAGUUUAUGUGCUCAGAAAGUGUCAGCAUGUCCCAGUCAUUAAGAUGUCCUCCUUAUUUCCGGUGAUGUCCUGCCAUCUGUUCCUUCCUAUAAAUGCAGUGUAUAUAUAAUUCAAUUCGAUUUGAUUUGUGUAGCGCUUUUAACAAUGGGCAUGGUCUCAAAGCAGCUUUACAGAAACAUAUAAAGACAGGAUACAGAUUUUAAGUGUGUGAAUUUAUCCCUAAUGAGCAAGUCGGUGGUGAGGAAGAACUCCCUAAGGUGAUAUGAGGAAGAAACCUCGAGAGGAACCAGACUCGGAAGGGAACCCGUCCUCGUCUGGGUGACGCCGGAUAGUGUGAAAGUGAAAGGAAGUUCAUUAUGGAUUUAACGUGAAGUCUGUUUGUUGAACUAGUCCACUGUUCACUAAAGGAGACCACAGUGAGAAUGUCCAUGUGGAAUUGAGGUCCAAAACCACUUCCAUGGUUCUUCAAGCGGUAGCAUCCUCAGCAAUCUCCAGGACGUAGCCUCCAGUUGAUGAGGGC
ensembl:lncRNA